rnacentral:rRNA from 1 species
GACGAACGCUGGCGGCGUGCUUAACACAUGCAAGUCGAACGGAAAGUCCCUGCUUUUGUGGGGUGCUCUAGUUGCGAACUGGUGAGUAACACUUGAGUAACCUGCCCCUGACUUUGGGAUAACUUCAUGCAACUUGGUCUCAUACCGGCUAGGAUCUCCUGCUGCUUGGUGGGCGUUGGAUAGUUUCGGCGGUUGGGGAUGGACUCGCGGCUUAUCAGCUUGUUGGUGGGGUAGUGGCUUACCAAGGCUUUGACGGGUAGCCGGCCUGCGAGGGUGACCGGCCAAAUUGGGACGGAGAUAAGGCACAGACUAGUACGGGAGGCAGGGGUGGAGAAUAGUGCACAAUGGGAGGAAGCCUGAUGUAGCAAAGCAGCGUGGGGGAUGAGGGGCUUCGGGUUGUAAACCGAUGUCGCCUGUGACGAAGCGUGAGUGACAGUAAUGGGUAAAGAAGCACCGGCUAACUACGUG